AUGCACAGCUUCUUUCAGCUCCAGGGACUUGGUUUCUCUUUCAUGAGGAAAGUGUUUGCUGACACUUUUUCUGAGACCUCAAAGAAAGCGAAGGUGACAAGAAAAGAGGAAUUGUGGGAAAUGGAAUCUGUUUCAUCAUCUGAGAGACCAGAACUCAAGAAUGUUAAGAUCCUUUUCUGCUCUCAAUAUGGCCAUCAGAGAAGCAUAGGCAGUUCCAGCUAUUGCGGAAUUCUACACUCAGAAGAACCCACCUAUACCUGGAGAAGUAAUGGUUCUGUGGACUUGUAUUUGGAAGAAAGUCUCCAGGAACCUCUGCAGAGCAUAAAUGCAAACCAGCUGGGACAAGUCUCCCUCUUCCAGCCAAAAGGAGGAAAAGUUUGAUUAUAUG
rnacentral:lncRNA from 1 species